ensembl:lncRNA
UGAGCAUAGGCUUAAUUUGCUCUACCGCAUAUGGGAUCUUUAGUUUCCAGGCAUAUGGGAUCUUAGUUUCUGGACUAGGGAUCAAACCCAUGUCCUCUGAAUUGUAAGGUGGAUUCUUAACCACUGGACCACUUGGGAAGUCCCUGAAAUGAAUUUUUUAAUAGAAGGUUUUUUUUUUUUUGUGUGUGUGUGUUUUGUAUUUUUCUUAUAGUAGGUAUAUAGGAAGUGCCAAAGAAUCAGAUAUUGCUAAGAAUGCUGGGUCUUCUGGAAUAUACCCAUUCCAAUUGCUAGAAGACAAUAUUUUUCCUUUUAGCUUGCUGCUUUAGGGUGAGACAAAACUUCAGAGGCCUCAAAUUACUGAGUCCACGGAGAAUUAUCUUUUUUUUUUUUUGGUUGAGCCUCUGCAAUGCACGUGGGAUCUCAGUUCCCUGACCAGUGAGCAAACCCACAGCCCCUGCAGUAGAGGCACUGGAAGCAGAGAGUCUUAACCACUGGACCACCAGGGAAGUCCUUCAGAAUAAUCUUUCUUUGGCAAAGCUGAAUCAUCUGUCCCUUUGUUUCCUGUCAACUUUCAGAUGAGUCAGGUUGUCUGUGCCUCACCUUGAUGAAUGCUGAAAGGAGUACCCAACAUCCUAUGAUAGUGAUGACAGCAUUUCCCACCAUGUUGCUCAAGGCUCAAGCCUCGGUAAUUACUUGGUCUGAAUCCAAGAGAUAACAAGUAGUAGUUUAAAUGAUUGCUUCACAGCCUUCAAAAGGUAUGCCUAUUAAUGAAAGUGUACAUAUCAAAUUGUUAGAUUGGGAAGCUCAGACUUUCAAAAAGAUACUCACUCCCACCCUACCACGUCAACAUUUAAGGUUCUGUCCCUGUAGGAACCAGACUCUUUUGGUUGUAAGUUACCGUGUGUGUGUGUGUGUGUGUGUGUGUGUGUGUGUGUGUGUGUGUGUGUGCUGUCACCUUAGUCGUGUCCGACUCUUCGUGACUGCAUGAACUGUAGCCCUCCCAGUUCCUCUGUCCAUGGGAUUCUCCAGCCAAGAAUACUGGAGUGGGUUGCCACGCCCUCCUCCAGGGGAUCUUCCUGACCCAGGGAUUGAACCCACUUAAGUCUCUUGCAUUGGCAGGUGGGUUCUUUACCACUGAGCCACCAGGAAAGUCCCCACAGAAGUCCUAAGUAACCAUAAUCAGACUUAAAAUCACCUCCCAGAAUCCACGGAAGAAUUGAACAACCAAAUUUUGGAGAAGUAGCUGGUUCUCACAAGCCCCCUGUGCCCAUGGAUUUGAAUGCCAUCAGCAUGUAACGUUUCUCAUCUUUGAUGAGAGACAGAGAGAUGAAUAUAAGCCAUAAAUAGUCCAUGAAUUUUCCAUAUUAAAUUUUCCACUGACACUAAAGACUGACCUACUUUCUCAGUUUCAGUCCAAAAAAAUCCCCAAGGAGGACUUUACUUGGCCCAACUUGAAUGAGUAUCAACAUCUGGUCCAAUCAACUAGGGCCCUGGGGUGAAGUCAGCCACUCACUGCAGCCAAGAACCUGCAAAGAGCGAACUGGUCUGUAUUAAACUUUCUAAGCCAAGGCUACCACCAUAGUUCUUCAUUGACAGCUGUUAAAUGAUAGUUCAAUUUUAAAGUAUUCAAGACAUGUCUAUAAGGCUGGGAGAGCACAUGAUUUAUUAUCAAGAAGAGAACAUUUUGAGAGUUAAAGUGAUUGCUAUUGAUUUAGUCCAAGAGACUGUAUAUGAUAUGGGACUGUCAGCAAACUGGAUGAUACAGUCAACUUCACCAGCAGAAAAGAUAGUCUAAGACUGAAGCCCUGUGUCCCCUUCUGCUGCUCUUUUACCAGAACUAAAGGUCAGUAAGGCAACCAGACACUAUUGCUGAGAGCCUUCUAUGAGCAAGGCACUGUGAUUAAUUCAGGAAAGAAAUAAAGUCUUUUAGGAGGAACUCACUGAAAUAAUUCUGUGUAUUUAUUGAAAGAUUUGUAUAUGUGAAGAGCAUACGUCCUGGUUUAAGUUAAUAGUUAUUUCCAGGUGUAUCACAAAAACCAAACUAGGACAUUUAUGAAUUCUUACCUUGGGCCAUUGGGUUCAGCAAAAGAAGACACAGAGGUUAUCCUAAAAAGGAGAUGAUUGUCUGUCACCCAGGUAUAUGUGGAAGAAGUGAAAUGAGUCAGAUUUUGCUUCCCAGGUGGUGCUAGUGGUAAGGAACCUGCCCCCCAUAGCAGGAGACUUAAGAGAUGUGGGUUCGAUCCCUGGGUUGGGAAGAUCCUCUGGAGAAGGAAAUGGCGACCCACUCUAGUAUUCUUGCCUGGAGGAUCCCACGGACAGAGGAACCUGGCAGGCUACCAUCCAUAGCGUCGCAAAGAGUAGGACACGACUGAAGUGACUUAGCACAAC